GCCGGUGGUGCUGGCGGCUUCGGUGGCCGCGGAGGGGGGUUCGACCGAGGCGGCCGGGGCGGACCCAGGGGCCGCGGGGGGAUGAGCAUGGGUGAUCGCGGAGGAUUCAAUAAGUAUGGUGGACCCAGAGACCAGGGACCUGGGGGCCCCAACCCAAG